CAGCAGCCGCGGUAAUACAGAGGGUGCAAGCGUUAAUUGGAAUUACUGGGCGUAAAGCGCGCGUAGGUGGUUCGCCAAGUUGGAUGUGAAAUCCCCGGGCUCAACCUGGGAACUGCAUCCAAAACUGGCGAGCUAGAGUAUGGUAGAGGGUGGUGGAAUUUCCUGUGUAGCGGUGAAAUGCGUAGAUAUAGGAAGGAACAUCAGUGGCGAAGGCGGCCAUCUGGGACAACACUGACGCUGAGGCACGAAAGCGUGGGGAGCAAGCAGGAUUAGAUACCCGCGUAGUCCCUGUCUCUUAUAC
rnacentral:rRNA from 1 species